rnacentral:rRNA from 1 species
UACAUGGGGUGCAAACGUUGCUCGGAAUCAUUGGGCGUAAAGCGCGCGUAGGCGGUUACUUAAGUUGGAUGUGAAAGCCCUCGGCUUAACCGAGGAAGUGCAUCCAAAACUGAGUAGCUAGAGUACGAAAGAGGGUCGCGGAAUUCCCGGUGUAGAGGUGAAAUUCGUAGAUAUCGGGAGGAACACCGGUGGCGAAGGCGGCGACCUGGGUCGAGACUGACGCUGAGGCGCGAAAGCGUGGGUAGCAAACGGG